rnacentral:rRNA from 1 species
GACGAGGGGUCCAAGCGUUUGUUCGGAAUCAUUGGGCGUAAAGCGGGUGUAGGUGGCUCUGUAAGUCAGAAGUGAAAGCCCCCGAGCUUAACUUGGGAAGUGCUUUUGAUACUGCAGAGCUUGAGUGUGGGAGAGGAUCGUGGAAUUCCAGGUGUAGUGGUGAAAUACGUAGAUAUCGGGAGGAAUACCUAUGGCGAAGGCAGGUUACUGGGCCAUCACUGACGCUGAGCUGCGAAAGCUAGGGGAGCAAACAGG